rnacentral:rRNA from 1 species
AACUUCAAGAAAGCAUGUCUUGAUCUUGUUGUCGAUUUCCCACACAUCACAUGGCAGCCAUGUGCGCCUCACACAAUUAACCUCAUGCUAAAGGAGAUGGGAUCUUUUCCUGAGACUAAUACAAUGGUCAACAGUUGUAAGAGAAUCUAUAGAUUCAUGUACAAUCAUUCAACUUUGCAUGCUGAAAUGCAGAAGCACAUAGGUGGACAGUUGGUGCGACCGAAUGCCACAAUGUUUGGAACUAACUUUAGGUUCCUAGAAAGCUUUUGCGAUAAGCAAGAGAAAUUCAAGGUGUGGAUGACAUCUGCCAAGUGGAAAAAUAGUUCAUGGAGUUUUGAGGUUGAUUAUGACAACACAUAUGAUUGUUUGAUAAGUAGGAAAUGGUGGGAUGAUGUCAAGAUGGUGUUAUUUGUAAUCGGCCCAAUAUAU